CGGCGGUGUUUGUCAGGUGGUCUGGCUCCUCCCACAGCUAGAGGCGUAUGCCGGGUCCAGACUGAGUCGAGGGCUGUCGCGGUGCCAUGGGGACGGCCAGGGACCUGGACGACCCUGAGAACUGCGUCUCCUCCUACCCUGGAACCGCCGUGUCCGAAGCCCCGGCAUUGAAGCUGAUAUGGAAUAUACGAGGCUGAAACCUUCAUCAACUCUCCAAAGAUUGUUUGCACUCUUCUGUUUUGAUUAGUUUUCAUGUGUGGCUUGUGAAUCACAGGAGGAAUGACUUUUGCCCAGAUACAACAUGUUGUGAGUACAUGUGAAUAGAAUUAUUCUUUUUUCCACCAUCAAAAUGAGUGCCCAUUACUUAGACUUAUUUUAAGCCAUUACUUAAUAUGAAUGUGAAUGUGUGUAAAGUUAAAUAAAGCUGCAAGUGCGACAUUUGAGAUGUUAAAA